rnacentral:rRNA from 1 species
UACGUAGGGUGCAAGCGUUAAUCGGAAUUACUGGGCGUAAAGCGUGCGCAGGCGGUUAUGUAAGUUAGAGGUGAAAGCCCGGGGCUCAACUCCGGAAUUGCCUUUAAGACUGCAUCGCUAGAAUUGUGGAGAGGUAAGUGGAAUUCCGAGUGUAGAGGUGAAAUUCGUAGAUAUUCGGAAGAACACCAGUGGCGAAGGCGACUUACUGGACACAUAUUGACGCUGAGGUGCGAAAGCGUGGGGAGCAAACAGG